UUUUAUUGACCUCUGA
rnacentral:rRNA from 1 species